CCCCUGUGGAAGUCGAGCGCCAACCGGACCGCAGAAGUUGAAGGUGCGGUAGGAGGGGCCACCGUGUCGCCUCCAAGGACAGGUAGUCGACGAUGAAGCCGUACGACUUCCGCCACGCUCAACCAAACUUUAGUAUCGCUUCGACCCUUGUACUAGAGAGACUUCUUAUUUCUUCUCGUUUUAUCAAUUUUUUUCUGCUAUUUAUUCCGUCUCGUUCAUCCGCUCUCUCUCACUUUCCGUCUUCCUCUUACACUCUCACCAUUACUCUCUCUACAUACGUCUUUCCCUUUUUCUGAUUCUCUUGUAUAUUUGCAUAAAUAUAUAUAUAUAUAUAUAUAUACAUAUAUAUAUAUGUGUGUGUGUGUAUGUAUAUAUCUAUGUAUGUAUAUGCAUAUACACACGUAGAGCCAAAAGACAGUGCAUACAUAUUAAACUUGGUGUCACGUAUAAUUGGAUGGGCACUAACAAUGUGACUUUCACUUGACUCUGAGAAAAAGAAAAACAAUAUCUGAGAAAAAAAAAUAAAGGGAUAUAUCAGAGUGUAAGAGUGAUUAAUAGAAGAACGUGAGGAUUUUCAAUAUUAUUGUCAGAGAGAAAAUACAAGGAGGAGAUAAAGAGAAGAAUUUACUUUGAGAAAAUUGUUAUCAAUAAUGGAGACUAAAAUGGAACCUCUUACGCCACCGCAUACACCACCGUCGGUGGACAGAUCGAUGCAGCAUCAUCUUCAAAUGACCUCUACAGUACCAUCGCCCCGUUGGAUCAGGUCGCAACAGAUGUCCAAUAGAUUUGUUCAUCAUCAUCAACAACAGCAACAACAGCAACAGCACGUGCAGUCGACUCAGCAAAAUAUUGGUGGUUAUCAAGCAACAACUUUUUUGGACAAUUGGCUAAGAGGUGCAGCUUUGUUAGCUGUUAGAGGAUGUUGUCCGCAAAGUUCGCCUCAUUAUCAUCAUCAUCAUCAUCAUCAUCAUCAUCCCCAUCAACAACAACAUCAACAUCAUCAUCAAACUCAUCAAGCUUUACAUCCACCACUUCCGGUACAACCACCGGCGCCCUUUCUCACGCGAAAAUUGCCUGGGCAACGACCGAAGAAACAAUUCAUUUGUAAAUUUUGUAAUCGACAAUUUACCAAGAGUUAUAAUUUAUUGAUACAUGAACGUACGCACACUGACGAGAGACCGUACUCGUGCGAUAUUUGCGGGAAAGCAUUCCGCAGACAGGAUCAUCUUAGGGAUCAUCGAUAUAUACACAGCAAGGAGAAACCAUUCAAAUGUGCGGAAUGCGGAAAAGGAUUUUGUCAGAGCAGAACAUUAGCAGUUCAUAAGAUUCUACAUAUGGAGGAAUCGCCCCACAAAUGUCCGGUCUGUGGGAAAAGUUUUAAUCAGAAGAGCAAUCUGAAGACGCAUCUGUUGACGCACACUGACGUUCCUCAGGAUCUUAGGAUCGAGAGCACAGUUUAUGGAGAUUCGAGAGUAACAAGUUCAGCUACGACCGUUAGACAAAUGGCUGAAAGAAUAGGAACCCUUAGAUCAAAUCAAAGGAGCAGUACAGCACCUCCGAAACUUGGAUUUAGUAUAGAAGAUAUAAUGAGACGUUAAGAUAUACAUACGUAUAUUGUUAUUCGUUAGAUAAUUACGUAUCUCUCGUUUCUUCUUUUCGUUACGUUAUGAAAGGAGAUCGAGUUUAUUUAUAAUUUCAGUGUUUUUCUUUUUUUUUUUUUUUUUUUUUUUUUGUUGAAUUUAUUAGACCGAUCGAAUUUGACAUAUAUAUGCGUACGAAGAGAAAAAGUAUCACGUUGUACUCGACGUCGUUUGUAAAUAGAUUCCUAAUCGUAUAGAUAAAACGUAUUCUGCAUUUAUUCUUGUCUUGAAUGUACAACUGUGUAGCGGGAAACGGGAGGAGGUUAGAGCAGGCGGCAGAAGAGAGAAUAAAUGUUAUAUAUGAAUAUAUAUGUUCACAUAUAAGUAGCAAGACAGUAUUAAUUGACAAACUAAAGAUAUUAGACAGUCGAUACGAUUUAUAAAAGUCGAUUAGUUUAGCGAAAUCGAAAUGUUUAUUCAUAGUAUUAUUAAUUCUUGAUAUGGAGAGAAAAAGAGAGAGAGAGAGAGAGAGAGAGACGAGAGACGUGAACCAUAUGUAUCGAGUUUUCAUUUAAACUCAUGUAAAUAUUGACAUUGUAUAUAUGUAUGUUAGUGUUAGUUCGAUAGAUUACACAUUAUAUUACUAUUAUAUUAUUAAAUGUUUAGGGCCAAUCAUAUAAUAGAAAAGUCAUCGGACAAUUAUUUACUACUACGUAAUUCAAUCGAUAUUCGUUGUAUAUGUAUGUAUGUAUGUAUAUGUACGUACGGGGUUGUGUUUGAUAAUCAUAGAGGAGUAAGAUACUAUAGGUAUUUUUAUCAAUAAUAACGAUGUCAUACGUAAUAUUUGGUGAACAGUCAUCGUUCUUCGUAAUUUUAAGCGGGAUCAAAAUUUAGACGUUAAGUAAAAUCUUUCGAAAAGUAAGUUAACUCAAUCCUAAUUUACUAAUAUUUAAAUUCAAAUCGAUAACUCUUGCGUAUUUGCGUAUUUACGAUGUACGUUACAUGUAUUGAUAAACAUUGCGUAGUAAGAUACUAUGGCAAGUUUAUCAAGAAUGUCAGUGUAAUCUUUGAGUCAGUCAUCAUUCUACGGAAAGUUAGGACAGAUCAAAAUUUAGGAUGCUGUUAAGACCAAGGCGUCAAAGUAAUUGCUCGAUCCUAAAAUGGACAUGCAACGAUCUCUAUCUCUUAGAAUAGAAGCUACAUAAGACGUUUCCUGUUGGUUGUAUCGAAGGCGUUAAUCGAGUUUCCUUUAGGAGUUGAAAUGUUUGUGUGGGAGCCAGGACGGUAGAGAAUGUCUAUGCUGCGAGGUCCCGUACUGAGUCCACCCUCGAGGCCCUAAAACGUUAACCGCAGAUUGCCCCGAACGGAUUAGAUCGCACGGUUAGUCUGAAGUUCACGGUGGUGAUCCUAUAGUUCAACAGAAGAUGAAGAUGAAGAUGAAGAUGAAGAUGAAGAAGAAGAGGAAGAAGAAGAAGAAGGAGAGGAAGAAGGAGAAGAAGAAGAAGAUGAUGAUGAAGGAGAGGAAGAAGGAGAAGAAGAAGAAGAUGAUGAUGAUGAAGAAGGAGAAGAAGAAGGAGAAGAAGAAGAAACGGGGUAGUUGAGUUCGACGAAGAGUCCUCGCGAGAGGGGAGAGAGCUCACGCUUUUUUUGCACGCACCUACCCUAUUAUUAGGGCGUGAGCCUUAUCUAAAGGGUCAUAGGGCCGAGUGCGACCUCGAGAGUCUCUCACAGAGAGCGAGAGAAAGAAAGAAAGAGAGAGAGAGAGAGAGAGAGAGAGAGAGAGAGAGAGAGAGAGAGAGAGAGAGAGAGAAGAGAGAGAUGGAGAGACUAAUCCUCGUCCUCCCGAAUUCCAGGAGUCUUUGUGACCAAUAUCCAACGAAGAAUGCAGGCACUUAUACACAUGUAACGUGUUAGGCAGGUUCUUAAGUAUAUAAAUCCUGUGAAUUUUGACGUUAAGCGAGACAUCCUUUAAAAGAUGAAACGAGACAAGAAGAAGAAAAAGAAGAAGAAGACGAAUUUCUAGGAGAAAUUAAGAAGUACGCGACAGAGACGAGAAAGUGAGGUUAUUUUUUAGGAAGACGCGCCCCAAAAGAUAGGUCU